rnacentral:rRNA from 1 species
GUCGAACGGAAAGGUCUCUAGCUUGCUAGAGAUACUCGAGUGGCGGACGGGUGAGUAACGCGUAAACAAUCUACCCUUUAGCCGGGGACAACCACGGGAAACUGUGGCUAAUACCCGAUAAGAUCACAGAUUCGCAUGUUUUUGUGAUGAAAGUAAUUAGAUUAGCUGAAGGAUGAGUUUGCGUCUAAUUAGCUUGUUGGUAAGGUAAUGGCUUACCAAGGCGAUGAUUAGUAGCUGGUCUGAGAGGAUGGACAGCCACACUGGGACUGAGACACGGCCCAGACUCCUACGGGAGGCAGCAGUGAGGAAUUUUGCUCAAUGGGCGCAAGCCUGAAGCAGCGACGCCGCGUGAACGAUGAAUCUUUCGGGAUGUAAAGUUCUGUCAGUGGGGAAAAUAAUGAUGGUACCCCGAGGAAGGACCGGCAACUAUGUGCCAGCAGCCGCGGUAAUACAUAGGGUCCAAGCGUUGUCCGGAUUUACUGGGCGUAAAGAGCAUGUAGGUGGUGAGAUAAGUCAAACUUAAAAGACCAUUGGCUCAACCAUGGUUAGGGUUUGAUACUGUUUUACUAGAGAUCGGGAGAGGAAAGUAGAACUAACAGUGUAGCGGUGAAAUGCGUAGAUAUUGUUAGGAAUACCCGUGGCGAAGGCGGCUUUCUGGACCGAAUCUGACACUGAGAUGCGAAAGCGUGGGGAUCAAACAGGAUUAGAUACCCUGGUAGUCCACGCUGUAAACGAUGUACAUUAGGUAUUGCGGGUAUCGACCCCUGCAGUGCCGAAGCUAACGCGUUAAAUGUACCGCCUGGGGAGUACGAUCGCAAGAUUAAAACUCAAAGGAAUUGACGGGGGCCCGCACAAGCAGUGGAUCAUGUGGUUUAAUUCGACGAUACGCGAAAAACCUUACCAGAACUUGACAUCCGCUUGAUCUCUAUGGAAGCAUAGAGUGACCCGCAAGGGAGGGCGAGACAGGUGGUGCAUGGUUGUCGUCAGCUCGUGUCGUGAGAUGUUAGGUUAAGUCCUGCAACGAGCGCAACCCCCGUACUGUGUUGCUACAUUAAGUUGAGCACUCUCAGUAGACUGCCCGUGGUAAACGGGAGGAAGGUGGGGAUGACGUCAAAUCAUCAUGCCCCUUACGUUCUGGGCUACACACAUGAUACAAUGGCCAGUACAAAGGGUUGCCAAGCCGCAAGGUGGAGCUAAUCUCAAAAAACUGGUCUCAGUUCGGAUUGUAGUCUGCAACUCGACUACAUGAAGUUGGAAUUGCUAGUAAACGCAGAUCAGCACGCUGCGUUGAUACGUUCCCGGGCAUUGUACACACCGCCCGUCACACCAUGAAAGCCGGAAAUAUCCGAAGUAGGUGAGCUAACCGCAAGGAGGCAGCCUCCUAAGAUAGAGCU